ACGCAAUAGGGAUUGAAGUGAAAAUCCUUUUGCUUUUCUUUCACAUAAGGAAAAGCAAAAGAUUGUAACGGAAAGCCCGACCCGAG
rnacentral:sRNA from 1 species